rnacentral:rRNA from 1 species
GAUGAACGCUGGCGGCGUGCUUAACACAUGCAAGUCGAACGAUGAAGCCCAGCUUGCUUGGUGUAUUAGUGGCGAACGGGUGAGUAACACGGGAGUAACCUGCCCUCAACUCUGUGGUAAGCCUUGGAAACGGGGUCUAAUACCGGAUAGGAGCGUCCACCGCAGGGUGGGUGUUGGGAAGAUUUAUCGGUUUUGGAUGGACUCGCGGCCUAUCAGCUUGUUGGUGGGGUAAUGGCUCACCAAGGCGACGACGGGUAGCCGGCCUGAGAGGGUGACCGGCCACACUGGGACUGAGACACGGCCCAGACUCCUACGGGAGGCAGCAGUGGGGAAUAUUGCACAAUGGGCGCAAGCCUGAUGCAGCGACGCCGCGUGAGGGAUGACGGCCUUCGGGUUGUAAACCGCUUUCGGUAGGGACGAAGCGAAAGUGACGGUACCUGCAGAAGAAGCACCGGCUAACUACGUG